rnacentral:rRNA from 1 species
GACGAACGCUGGCGGCGUGCUUAACACAUGCAAGUCGAACGGAAAGGCCCUGCUUUUGUGGGGUGCUCGAGCGGCGAACGGGUGAGUAACACGUGAGUAACCUGCCCUUGACUUUGGGAUAACUUCAGGAAACUGGGGCUAAUACCGGAUAGGAGCUCCUGCUGCAUGGUGGGGGUUGGAAAGUUUCGGCGGUUGGGGAUGGACUCGCGGCUUAUCAGCUUGUUGGUGGGGUAGUGGCUUACCAAGGCGUUGACGGGUAGCCGGCCUGAGAGGGUGACCGGCCACAUUGGGACUGAGAUACGGCCCAGACUCCUACGGGAGGCAGCAGUGGGGAAUAUUGCACAAUGGGCGGAAGCCUGAUGCAGCAACGCCGCGUGCGGGAUGACGGCCUUCGGGUUGUAAACCGCUUUCGCCUGUGACGAAGCGUGAGUGACGGUAAUGGGUAAAGAAGCACCGGCUAACUACGUG